rnacentral:misc_RNA from 1 species
UUGAUUCAUUUGUUUUCGUUACUCAGAAGGAGAUUCCGCCGAGGGCGAAGGCAAGAGUUUGGGUCCCCCGGCGGGCGCCUGGGUCCGGGCCUCCUCCCCCGGGGGGGGUUCGGGCGCCGGGGCGGUCCGCCGAAGCAACGUAUGGUAUGUUCACAGGGGUUUGGGAGUUGGUAUAACUCGGUAAUGAUCCCUCCGCUGGUUCACCAACGGAGA